rnacentral:snoRNA from 1 species
AGGCUCCAAUUACCUGACCCAUCAGAUCAAAACAUUGCUCUGAGUGGUGAUAAAAGGAGGAAAAGUAAAAUUGAAACUGAUUUCAAUUAAUUUGUGACUCAUAGCUAGUUUCAAACAAAC